rnacentral:rRNA from 1 species
UACGUAGGGGGCAAGCGUUGUCCGGAAUUAUUGGGCGUAAAGAGCGUGUAGGCGGCCAGAUAAGUCCGCUGUGAAAUCUCGAGGCUCAACUUCGAGCUGUCGGUGGAAACUAUCUGGCUAGAGUCCGGAAGAGGAGAAUGGAAUUCCUGGUGUAGCGGUGAAAUGCGCAGAUAUCAGGAAGAACGCCCGUGGCGAAGGCGGUUCUCUGGGACGGUACUGACGCUGAGACGCGAAAGCGUGGGGGGCGAACAGG